rfam:Cavia porcellus supercont2_0 genomic scaffold, whole genome shotgun sequence.
GGUUUAGCUCAGCGGCAUAAGCGCCUGCCUUGCAAGCAGGCGGUCCGGAGUUCAAUCCCCGGUACCA